UACGGGGGAGGCAAGCGUUGUUCGGAUUUACUGGGCGUAAAGGGCGCGUAGGCGGCCACCGCAAGUCGACUGUGAAAUCUCCGGGCUUAACCCGGAAAGGUCAGCCGAUACUGCGGGGCUAGAGUGCAGAAGGGGCAACUGGAAUUCUCGGUGUAGCGGUGAAAUGCGUAGAUAUCGAGAGGAACACCUGCGGCGAAGGCGGGUUGCUGGGCUGACACUGACGCUGAGGCGCGAAAGCUAGGGGAGCAAACGGG
rnacentral:rRNA from 1 species